CCCAUUCUUGGAGCAGAUAAUCGAGUAAAGUUCUCAAGUAUAAGUUCACACCCAGUAUGUUUCUGCCAUUAUCAGCGUGGUUUAGUAGCUCUCAUGAAUUUCUUUCGAGCCUGGUAUGCUCUAGAGAUGUCUCCAUGACGAUAAUCUUCAGUGUAGCAGAACAACUCUCAUCAAUGUGUUCGCACGUCUCCUCAGUCCAUGCAGCCAGCUUUUCUGCCAACUUCUCUUCGUGUCUCCCAUAAAGUCGACGUCAACAAGAAAGGGCAAGUCUGAACGUACCUCGAAGCCUCAGCAUUAAGCUGAUGACAGGUAGUUCUUCCACUGUAUGCCCUUUCAGAUUCUGGAAACUGACCAGUGAACUCAGGUCUUUGGGCAGCAGCGGUAUCUCCAACUUACACAGAUUCCCGAACCAAAGACUUAAGCCAAUCUCCAUAUAGGGCGGCAGCCCCUCCAUCACAUUGAUCCACCAACAGAAUUCUGCCCAGUUACCUUGGAUCCACCAGCCGCAACAAGCUCGUGGUACAAACCAACAUUCCACCUGGAAUCCAACCGGUUUUCUGUGGCCUCAUCCUGUCUUUGGAAUAACAGACCACUCUUAUGCAAGUGUCCUGUGCCAAGUGCUUGGUGAGUGGAUGUUUACAAUGCUGUGUGUAUGGGAGCGAGUUAGAGCAAUUUGCACUUGUUCUCUGCCUACUGGGCAUCAAUAAAUCAACACUUUCCACAUAUAA